AACAUGUCUUCUUGUAAAAUAUAGGAAGUCUGGCCUGCCCAGUGAUAAUAAUUUAACGGCCGCGGUAUAUUGACCGUGCAAAGGUAGCAUAAUCAUUAGUCUUUUAAUAGGAGACUGGGAUGAAGGGCUCAACGAAAUACUAGCUGUCUCAAUUUAAUAUAUUAUAAUUUGAUUUUUGAGUCAAAAAGCUUAAAUAUUAUUGAAGGACGAGAAGACCCUAUAGAGCUUUAUAGUUAAUAUUAAUAGUUAUUUUUAUUAAAUUUUUAUUCUGUUAAUAUUAAUUUUUUUGUUGGGGUGACAACAAAUAUAUAAAUAACUUUUUUAUUUAAAAACCAUUAAUUUAUGAAUAAUAGAUCCAUUAUUAUUGAUUAAUAGAGUUAGUUACCUUAGGGAUAACAGCGUAAUCUUCCUUCAGAGUUCAUAUUUACAGGGAGGGUUGCGACCUCGAUGUUGGAUUAAGAUUAUAAUUAGGUGUAGCAGCUUAAUUUAUGGGUCUGUUCGACCCUUAAAUUCUUACAUG
rnacentral:rRNA from 1 species